AACUAACGCUAGCGGCGUGCCUAACACAUGCAAGUCGUACGAGAAAGUCGGCUUCGGCUGAUGAGUAAAGUGGCGCACGGGUGAGUAACGCGUGGAUAAUCUACCCUUAAGUUUGGAAUAACGUACCGAAAGGUGCGCUAAUACCGGAUAAUACUGAGCAACUACUGUUGUUUAGUCAAAGAAGGCUUCUGUUUACAUGCUUUUGCUGAAGGAUGAGUCCGCGUACCAUUAGCUAGUUGGUAGGGUAAAAGCCUACCAAGGCGACGAUGGUUAGCUGGUCUGAGAGGAUGAUCAGCCACACUGGAACUGAGACACGGUCCAGACUCCUACGGGUGGCUG
rnacentral:rRNA from 1 species